rnacentral:rRNA from 1 species
CCUACGGGUGGCAGCAGUGGGGGAUAUUGCACAAUGGGGGGAACCCUGAUGCAGCGACGCCGCGUGGGUGAAGGAGUGCUUCGGCAUGUAAAGCCCUAUCGGCAGGGAAGAAGCAAGACGGUACCUGACUAAGAAGCCCCGGCUAACUACGUGCCAGCAGCCGCGGUAAUACGUAGGGGGCGAGCGUUAUCGGGAUUCACUGGGUGUAAAGGGAGCGUAGACGGCCAUGCAAGCCAGGGGUGAAAGCCCGGGGCCCAACCCCGGGACUGCCCUUGGAACUGGGCGGCUAGAGUGCGGGAGGGGCAGGCGGAAUUCCUGGUGUAGCGGUGAAAUGCGUAGAUAUCAGGAGGAACACCGGCGGCGAAGGCGGCCUGCUGGACUGCGACUGACGUUGAGGCUCGAAAGCGUGGGGAGCGAACAGGAUUAGAUACCCGGGUAGUC